UUUCCGUAGGUGAACGUGCGGAAGGAUCAUUG
rnacentral:rRNA from 1 species